UUGGGAAUCACUGGUAACAUUAUACAUGAAGGCAGGUUACAGAAAGCACCGGCCGGCCCACUUCUACACAUAGUCAUUGCAAAGGCACAUUCAUUUAUGAAUGUGCCUUUGAGGACACGACUGUUUAUUGGUAGCAUAGCACUCUCCUUGUUUUGCCUUUGAUUGCCACAAAUUAGGCAAAUAUACAUUUUGUGGAAGUCAGAUCUUAUCUCAUUGUUUUUCAUUGCUGUAUUACAUUGCAAUACCUUUUGUAUACCUACCUAGUACUAUGAUAUUAUCAAGUUGUUGUUGAUAUUGCUAUUAAUUCAAGUCAAACUGAAGAUUAGAAUAUGUAUUUUAAGACAACCCGGAAGGGUUGUAUAUGUCAAGAAAGAAACUGCUAUGAAAUAAUAAUGAGGAGAACUACAGUCUAGGUAGAGUUACAACGGUGUAACUCUAAUCGAGCGACAGACAGAACGUGAGGACUCUGAUGGCCUGUCAGUGGUGAGCAGCUUCUGUGAUGUCAGCGGAGAUCAGCUGGGUUACGAGGAGAGCUCCUUGUGCAUCCUGAGCCCUGACUGUGACCUCUACAUCUGUGACGGAGACGACGACGACAGCACUGACAGCUGUCGGGACCAGAGUGUCUACGCUGAUCUCAGUGGCUCCAUCAGUGCAGAGGA
rnacentral:lncRNA from 1 species